GACGAACGCUGGCGGCGUGCUUAACACAUGCAAGUCGAACGGAAGGGCCCUGCUUUUGUGGGGUGCUCGAGUGGCGAACGGGUGAGUAACACGUGAGUAACCUGCCCUUGACUUUGGGAUAACUUCAGGAAACUGGGGCUAAUACCGGAUAGGAGCUCCUGCUGCAUGGUGGGGGUUGGAAAGUUUCGGCGGUUGGGGAUGGACUCGCGGCUUAUCAGCUUGUUGGUGGGGUAGUGGCUUACCAAGGCUUUGACGGGUAGCAGGCCUGGGAGGGUGACCGGCCACAUUGGGACUGAGAUACGGCCCAGACUGCAACGGGAGGCAGCAGUGGGGAAUAGUGCACAAUGGGCGGAAGCCGGAUGCAGAAACGCCGCGUGCGGGAUGACGGCCUUCGGGUUGUAAAAAGAUUUCGACUGUGACGAAGCGUGAGUGACGGUAAUGGGUAAAGAAGCACCGGCUAACUACGUG
rnacentral:rRNA from 1 species